UUAAAGGAAAGCUCAACAGGAGAGCUGUCCAUGUUCAAUGAUACAGGAAGUGGGGCAGGGAGAGGAGAACGGAAUGCAAAAGCCAACUCCCGAAGGGAGAGCCUUCUUCCAAAAUCUGCCUAACCAAAGAAUAGCGGGAUAAGCUCUGUAUGAGCUGUUGAUGGCUGACAAUGGAAGCAGCGGUAGUGCGCCUCCCGACUACCUCGACUUGUGUGCCGUGAAUAUGGCGAUCGCGGCGGCGGGGAGAACGGCGCAACCGUUGCCUAGCAAAGCUUGGUCGGCUGCAUGCGUGCCGUGCGGCCGUCCGGCUUACGGCCGCAGCUCUGGGCUGGCGCUGGCCAUGGCCUGAGCCGUCGCGCUGGCACGGCCUGCUACGGCAUAGCUGGUUGGACAAGCGAUGGUCGGGAAGGUCGAAAAGGCACCCAUAAGGCUUUGUUUGUGGGCGCUCUGGGGCAUGAUAAGAGGUUCUCACCGGCUAGGAUGCAUUUGAUGAUUAAACAACAUCAGAAUGGAUGCUAUUACUUACUAGGGCUGUGCUACCCAGCGUUCAAAGCACCCAGGAUUUUUGGGUGUACACUUUUAGUUUGUUAGAAUAAAAUCAUCUAUUGAUUACCAAAUAUGACAUAUGGACUUUACAUCCUGAAUUUUUGCAUACAUAUGGACUUUACAUGCUGAAGCCGCAAGAUUCUACCUGAAUUGGAAUUUCGACAUUAAACCAAGUUUCUAAACUGAAACUCCGUUUUUACCAUUGUCUUUACCAUGAGGGCGAGCUCAAAGUUAGCCUCUGCAUGGACGUGUUUCUAGCAGAUUUUUAUUUUUGUGCACUUUACUACCUGUCUAUUGCCUUUCAGUUCGCACGGUCCGAUGCCUUCUUUCUAGUUAUCUUACUUAUUUGUAUCUUGCUUGGAGUCUGUUUAGGAGCUAAGUACUCCCUCCGUCAGGAUACAUCCCUUUUUAUCCAUUUUGAUGACAAGUAUUUCCGGACGAAGGGAGUACUAGUUUUACCUUUUUACAAAAAGAUUGGAAAGAAUUCUGCAAGCCUCUAAUAUGCAAAGGUAUGGAACCUAAAACUUAGAUUUCAAUCAUUUCCUUAGUGUACCUUAUCUCUAUUGGUGUACUGCGUCCAUCAAUUGUAUUUUUCUUCGAAGAUCAGAGCUCCAAUAACAAUUUCUGGUUACCUUAUGCCUCUUCACUGCUCUCUCUCUCUUGUCUUUCAUUCAUACUCCCUCCAUUCCAAAAUAAAUGUUGUGGUUUUAAUUCAAAUUGGUAUUCCACCUCUUGCUUGCUUCUAGUCCAAAGGUGAAAUCCAUAGUAAUAGUUGGUUGUAUUCGACACUUACUUUUGAAACGAAGGGAGUUAAAGUGCUCUUUUGUUCCCCGAGUUCACAUGCUCUCUCAUGAACAGUAAAAUUGAAAACAACAGUAAAAAGUUCAAAAGAAUAAGUUUUUUUUGUAAUAAACAUUUAUAAAUGUUUUCAUUGUCUGCAAAAAAUUGUGAUGAAAUGACAAUCGUGGAAAUGUGGGGAAAAUAAACAGAAUCGAUGCUCCAAAAUGCUUCCAACAAUAGUCUUUUCGAGGCAUAGAUUUUUUGCCCACAUUUCCCCAAAUGUCAUUUCGCAAAAAAAAAAUUUUGCGUGCAAUGAAAACAUUCAUCAAUGUUCAUCACAAACAAAAUCAGAAAAUUUUUCAAUUUUUUUAUUUUUUUCGAUUUUACUGUUUAUGAGGGAGCAUAUGAGCUCGCGUGCAAAACCUCCACGUCCGUACAUAACAACUUAUACUAUAGGACAAAGAGAGUACAACUCCCGUAGAAUAGCAAAGUCCGGGUACCACAGGGGUGGCAACAGGGGUGUUAGAGCAUCUACAACCAUAACUCGCAGAUUUCGUCAUCCAAAUGCCCGUGGACGUGCCUGGGCACGUUCGCGGACAGUGACCGAACAACAGACUAAAAAUCCUUUUCACAACCGGAUGCCACAAUAAAGAAUCCUCAAAUCCAUACAAUACAUGCACGUGAAACCUAAUCUUAAGUGGAGCCCGCCCGGUUUCGUUGUGCCCAUGUCCGGCGGUUGGCUACGUCCCUCGAAGUGUUGGUACGAUCACCGACGAGGUAGAGUAGGACAUGAGAGACGCACCGGCUCAGACUCAAGGCGUCGUCGUCUCCCAUGCCCUACUCUUGUCGGAGCAUGAGCAUGGGCAUGUCGCCAGCGAGGUAGAGUAGGAAAUGGUCAACAAUGGCUAAAAAUUUGAAAUGGGAUGGCCAAAGAGGCAUUGGCAGAGCAUAAUUGGUUUGAUUGGUAUUGUCAAUAUUUGAAAAAAAAUCUUAAGUUGCCAAAAGUUGACAAUAAAAUUUGGUAGCAAACCACUAGCCAUCAUUUGACAUUUUUGGCAAAAUAUUGGCAUGCCAACUUUUGACAUCUAACCACUGGAAAAAAAAAUAGCGCUCUAUAGCAUCAUUGAUAGCACGUUGUAGCGUUUUGAGCAAUGUCUCUCCAAAUAAACUAGUGUACAAAAGUAUCUCGCUAAUAGCGCAUUUUAAGAGUGGCGCUAUUUUGCUAUUGCAGAUCAUUGGGAAAGGGGUUUUGGUGAACAAAUAUAGACUAUUUCUUUUGUCAUGACCAGAACAUUGGUGAAGAGGGUUUUGGCCACCAUCCAAACACACCCUAACUUCUGCCAAUUAUGCCGGUUACCUAGGAUCAACACAAAGAUGAUCGAGCAUACCAGUAAAACUAGCAAUCAACGUAAAUUUAGCUCAGGUGAACUCUACACGAUACACAUGGACCUCUAUCCGGACUCAGGGUUGGCCACCCAACAAUUUGCGGGAGAAGCCUGUGGCUUGCUGGUUGGCAACGACAGUGGCCACGCAGCACCCCCAAUGUUUGAUAUGUUGGAUCGCCUUAGGUGUCUCACUCAGGUGUUUUAGUUUGCAGCUAUCUCACAGGCCUUCGGGCCACAGCAUGCCCACCGUUCAUGGAGUUGAAUGGCUUCGGAAGUUUCCUCAAGACGCAUUGCGUUGUAGAUCUAGUUAGGCACAUCGCCGAUAUGUGUGGGUGUUCUGCAUCUGAUCAAAUACUAAAGAGAAACAAUGUUUUGACAAAUUAUUAAGCCAAGUGGGCUUUUUUGUUCAUCUGCUAUUUACUUUUCUGGCGUACAGGUUCACAUAAAUCUGAGAUGAUAAGGAUUUAUCAGGCAGGAGCCAUGCCAUGCCAGCAAAGAGUUGCAACAAUGCAUCAGCGGGAACAGUAUUACAGUACUUGGACUUGCUUCAAAAAUUACCUUUUUUUUUGCAGUACUUGAGCGGCCUCAGUUUGAUAAUACAAGAACCGUUGUUAGCAUUUCUACAACAUGAAGACAAGUACCGCACCAAACUAAAAUCUAUACUUCAUUCAAAAUAAAUAAGGAUGGCUAUGAUGGACCAGGAGGCAGAGUUCAGAGAAUCUGGUGGAUAGUAGUUAUUGUUUGCUCCCAGUUACUGUAAUAUCGAUGUUAUGUGUAGCA